rnacentral:rRNA from 1 species
UUUGAGGAUUAUUUAAGGUUUAGCCUGCUCCAUGAUGAAUUAAAUAGCCGCAGUAUUUUGACUGUGCAAAGGUAGCAUAAUCAUUAGUUUUUUAAUUGAAAGCUGGAAUGAAGGGCUGGAUGAGGAAGCUUCUGUCUCACUUUAAUUUUAUUUGAAUUUUAUUUUUAAGUUAAAAAGCUUAUAUUUAAUAAAAAGACGAGAAGACCCUAUAGAGUUUAAUAAAUGUGAGCUUUAUUUACUUGAAGAUUAGGUUUUAAUUAAAGUGAAGUUUAUUUUGUUGGGGUGACAUAAGAAUUUAAUUAACUUCUUUUUAUUAAUACAUUAAUUAGUGAAUAAAUGACCCUGAGUUUUGGGUUAAAAGAAUAAAUUACCUUAGGGAUAACAGCGUAAUCCUUUUGAAGAGUUCAAAUCGAUAAAGGGGGUUGCGACCUCGAUGUUGGAUUAAAGUUUACUCUUGGUGCAGAAGCUAAGAUUUUAAGUCUGUUCGACUUUUAAAACUUUACAUGAUCUGAGUUUAAACCGGCGUGAGCCAGGUUGGUUUCUAUCUUUUAUAGUUAAAAUAUUUUAGUACGAAAGGACCGGGUAUUUGAAUAAUAUUUUAUUAUUUGAAUAAAAUGUUAUUUUGGCAGAGUAGUGCAAUAGAUUUAGAAUCUUUAUAUGUAAUUUUAUUACAAAUAACAAUUUAUUUGUUUGACUUGAUUUUAUUGUUUAUUUCAAUAUUGAUUUUAAUUGUCUGUGUCUUAGUAGGUGUUGGGUUUUUGACUUUAUUAGAAC